rnacentral:rRNA from 1 species
CUUUACUGUAACCUGGAAUUGGGUUCGGGCUUUUCUUGCGCAGCCUAGGUGGGAGGCUAUGAAGAUUUCCUUCCGGGGAAGUUGGAGCCAACAGUGAGAGACCACUCUGAAAAGGCUAGAAUCCUCAUGGUGAUCCUUGAAUCAGGACACUUGACAGUUUCAGGCGGGCAGUUUCUCUGGGGCGGAGACCUCAUAAAAGGUAACUGAGGCGCGCAAAGGUCCCCUCAGUCUGGACGGAAAUCAGACAUUGAGUGUAAAGGCAAAAGGGGGCUUGACUGCAAGACCUACAAGUCGAGCAGGAGCGAAAGCUGGCCUUAGUGAUCCGACGGUGCCGUGUGGAAGGGCCGUCGCUCAACGAAUAAAAGUUA